UUAGGAAUCUUCCGCAAUGGGCGAAAGCCUGACGGAGCGACACCGCGUGGAGGAUGAAGGUCUUUUCGAUCGUAAACUCCUGUUCUGAGGGACGAAAUUUUUGACGGUACCUCAGGAGAAAGCACCGGCUAAUUCUGUGCCAGCAGCCGCGGUAAGACAGAAGGUGCAAGCGUUACUCGGAAUUACUGGGCGUAAAGCGUCUGUAGGCGUCCGCCCACGUCUCGCGUUAAAUCUCGGAGCCCAACUCCGAAUCUAUGCGGGAAACGAGGAGGAUUGAGCCACCCAGAGGCAUCUGGAAUGUCGUGUGUAGGGGUAAAAUCCGUAGAUACACGAUGGAACGCCAAAAGCGAAAGCAGGAUGCUGGGGGUGCGCUGACGCUGAGAGACGAAAGCGUGGGGAGCAAAGGGG
rnacentral:rRNA from 1 species